rnacentral:tRNA from 1 species
GGCGAAUGUACCCAGGGGAAUCAGGGGGGGGGGUGGGGGAAACCCCCCCAUGCGGGGGGAAAAC